UACUACGGUUAGUCGCAUUGGCCUUCCCUAACUAUCACGAAAUUUUAAUAGAACCGAAGAGAAAUAUUUUGAUGUACCAAAUACAGAAUGAUAAAAUCGUGGAAGCCCAUCCAAAGGUGGCACAUAUUCGUGAAAAAGUGAAUUCCAGUGUGAUGAGGGUAGCAAAUAUUUAAAAAGCUCUUAGAAAGGAACGUAACAAUUGCCAAAACGACAAUAAACUUCACACCAGAGUUGCCUCAGAACAAAGUAAAAACACCACCGGAGGCAUUUAUCUCAUGUUCCCGCGACACAUCCAUCAUCUGAGAAAUGACGCACUCGGCACACCGAAUCAACCUUAGGCAUUUAAUUUGAUAACUUCAACUCCAGCGUCGAGGGUCAAAGCCAUUUUGGGCUGGGCUGUGUAUCGUUCUAAUUCCAACUUCAUUGGAAAUUUAGAAGCAACUACAUUUUUAUAAGGGGAUUAUCUUGGGUUGUCAUCAGCGCCACAGCCACAAAAAGGGUUUCUUGCCGUUCAUCACAUUUUGACUGUGUGACGCCAUGGCCUGGGCCUAGGUGGUGGUUGAUUACAAGUUAGUUUAGUUGCGUUUCGUUUAUGACCCAUUCACGCUACUGCCUCUACUGAUAUUCUUUGACAGGAAAAUUGAUUAAUUAUCGAAAUUUCGUUGUGGUUGUCAUUGUUUAUAAUAAAGAAUAAGCAUU